rnacentral:rRNA from 1 species
UACGGAGGGUGCAAGCGUUGCUCGGAAUCACUGGGCGUAAAGCGACCGCAGGCGGUCUGACAAGUCGGAUGUGAAAGCCCUGAGCUCAACUCAGGAAUAGCAUUCGAAACUGGCAGACUUGAGUACGGGAGAGGGGGGUGGAAUUCCUGGUGUAGGGGUGAAAUUCGUUGAUAUCAGGAGGAACACCGGCGGCGAAGGCGGCCCCCUGGCCCGCAACUGACGCUCAUGGUCGAAAGCGUGGGGAGCAAACAGG